AGGCCUUCGGGUUGUAAACCGCUUUCAGCAGGGAAGAAGCGAAAGUGACGGUACCUGCAGAAGAAGCACCGGCUAACUAUGUGCCAGCAGCCGCGGUAAUACAUAGGGUGCAAGCGUUGUCCGGAAUUAUUGGGCGUAAAGAGCUCGUAGGUGGUUCGUCACGUCGGAUGUGAAACUCUGGGGCUUAACCCCAGACCUGCAUUCGAUACGGGCGAGCUUGAGUAUGGUAGGGGAGUCUGGAAUUCCUGGUGUAGCGGUGGAAUGCGCAGAUAUCAGGAGGAACACCAAUGGCGAAGGCAGGACUCUGGGCCAUUACUGACACUGAGGAGCGAAAGCGUGGGGAGCGAACAGGAUUAGAUACCCUGGUAGUCCACGCCGUAAACGGUGGGCACUAGUUGUGGGGACCUUCCACGGUCUCUGCGACGCAGCUAACGCAUUAAGUGCCCCGCCUGGGGAGUACGAUCGCAAGAUUAAAACUCAAAGGAAUUGACGGGGCCCCGCACAAGCAGCGGAGCAUGCGGCUUAAUUCGACGCAACGCGAAGAACCUUACCAAGGCUUGACAUAUACAGGAAUAUGGCAGAGAUGUCAUAGCCGCAAGGUCUGUAUACAGGUGGUGCAUGGUUGUCGUCAGCUCGUGUCGUGAGAUGUUGGGUUAAGUCCCGCAACGAGCGCAACCCUCGUUCUGUGUUGCCAGCAUUUAGUUGGGGACUCACAGGAGACUGCCGGGGUUAACUCGGAGGAAGGUGGGGAUGACGUCAAAUCAUCAUGCCCCUUAUGUCUUGGGCUGCACGCAUGCUACAAUGGCUGGUACAAACGGCUGCAAUACCGCAAGGUGGAGCGAAUCCGAGAAAGCCAGUCUCAGUUCGGAUUGGGGUCUGCAACUCGACCCCAUGAAGUCGGAGUUGCUAGUAAUCGUAGAUCAGCAACGCUACGGUGAAUACGUUCCCGGGGCUUGUACACACCGCCCGUCACGUCACGAAAGUCGGUAACACCCGAAGUCAGUGGCCCAACCGCAAGGAGGGAGCUGCCGAAGGUGGGAUCGGUGAUUGGGACGAAGUCGUAACAAGGUAGCCGUACCGGAAGGUGCGGCUG
rnacentral:rRNA from 1 species